AAGACCUUGCACUUUUGGAGCGGCCGAUGUCUGAUUAGCUAGUUGGUGGGGUAAUGGCCUACCAAAGCUUCGAUCAGUAGCUGGUCUGAGAGGACGGCCAGCCACACUGGGACUGAGACACGGCCCAGACUCCUACGGGAGGCAGCAGUGGGGAAUUUUGGACAAUGGGCGCAAGCCUGAUCCAGCCAUGCCGCGUGAGUGAAGAAGGCCUUCGGGUUGUAAAGCUCUUUCAGCCGGGAAGAAAAGGUUGCGACUAAUAAUCGCAAUCCAUGACGGUACCGAAAGAAGAAGCACCGGCUAACUACGUGCCAGCAGCCGCGGUAAUACGUAGGGUGCGAGCGUUAGUCGGAAUUACUGGGCGUAAAGGGUGCGCAGGCGGUUUUGUAAGUCAGAUGUGAAAGCCCCGGGCUCAACCUGGGAACU
rnacentral:rRNA from 1 species